CUGAACCCUAAAUAUCAACCACCAUCCAGGGAUGACCUAUCCAACACCUUAAUACCUGCAUGGUAUUCUGUUGUGAAACAGAAUGUCAUCCAACAGCUUGCACACGUCAGCAAAACUGCAAUUACUUGCGAUGGAUGGACCAGCGUGGCACAGGACCACUAUCUGACAGUGACUGUUCACUACAUUUACAAGGGCAGCAUCCAGCAGAAAGUUCUGAGCACUGAAGCAGUUUAUGAGGCUCAGACAGGGCUAGUGGUGGCAGAGGAAAUCCACAAAAUUCUUGAGGAGUUCAAGUUGACUGGAAAAGUCCUUGCUGCCACAGUUGACAAUGCAAGCAACUUGGAUGUUGCACUGAAAAAUUUAAAAUUUUUAAAAGUUGGAUGCUUUGCCCACACACUCAACCUGGCAGCACAGAAGGUGUAUGGCAUCCAAGCUGUGACCAGGUGGUGUGCAAAGAUCCGUGCAGUGGUGGUGUGGUUGAAGCGCUCCACCAUGAGCAAAACUGUUUUGAGAGAGAAGCAACGACUCCUCAGUAAAUAGCAUUAAUAUAAUCAUGAUACAUUUAAAUAUAAGAAGUUGUUUAUUGUAAUUCAAAUGUCUGUGUUUUAGAUUUGCCAGAGCAUAAUGUUAUCCUUGAUGUGAGGACUCGCUGGAAUUCUCUGUACAUCAUGGUUGAGCGGUUUGUGGAGCAGUUCCCUGCAAUCCAGGCAGCUUGCCUCGAUCACAGGCUGAGGAAGCCAAUGGAGAGGGACAGCUUCCACUAGAGGACCAUCAUCAGAGUGAGGCAGAAGUAGGUGGUGAUGGUGAGGUGGAGCAAGAGGACACACAUCAAAGAGGAGCUCACAGGAUGUCAGCCUUGGAGCAGUUAUUUGCGGAUGAAGACCGGGAACUUCUCCACACAACUAUGAGCACAAGCAGUGCCCUCUCUAUCACGGAGCAGGUCAAGAAAGAGAUUGAGCUCUACAAAGGCAUGCCAGCAAUCACAUCUGGACAAGACCCUGUGGCUUGGUGGUGGGGUAAGAGGGAUACCCUCCCUAAUUUGUCUGCCUUGUCAGAGGUGUAUUUGUGCGUGCAGGCCUCCUCAACCCCCUCUGAGAGGGUUUUCUCCUGUGCUGGACAUGCAAUUAGCCAGGAAAGAUGCC